rnacentral:lncRNA from 13 species
AGUUCUAGAAUCCGGUUUUGCUUCUGUGAUUUCAAGAGAGGACAGGAGGGGACAGUUUGAUGGACAUUCCAAAGGCCUCAGGUUCUGAUCCCAGCUCUGUGACCUUGGGCAUUUAUUCAUGAAUUCACUGCUGUGCCAGGUGCUAAAGAUACUAAAGAGGACAAGACAGGACAUCACUGCAGAAUCAAUGCCUCUCAAUACCUGAUGAAGAAAAAGCAAGGGAAGGAGGAGAGGAAGAGGGAGAGAGGGUUGAAGCUACACAGGCAAUGAGGCACCAGAGCGGAUAUGUGUGU